rnacentral:rRNA from 1 species
UGAGCAAUCUGCCCUUCACAUCGGAAUAACCAUUGGAAACGAUGGCUAAUACCGAAUAUGACUUCGAAUCGCAUGAUCUGAAGUGGUAAGCUCCGGCGGUGAAGGAUGAGCUCGCGGCCUAUCAGCUUGUUGGUGAGGUAAUAGCUCACCAAGGCGAUGACGGGUAGCCGGCCUGAGAGGGUGACCGGCCACACUGGGACUGAGACACCGGCAGA